GGUCUGGUGGUGUAGUUGGUUAUCACGUCAGUCUAACAGCUUGAGGGCAUCUCACGAUGCCCUCACUCCUGUUCACUGAAGGUCUCCGGUUCAAGUCCGGGCUGGAUCA